rnacentral:rRNA from 1 species
AUGUCCUCUAGCGCGCGCCGGUCAUGCCGCAGCUCAGGGGCGCGGGGGUCUUCGGCUAUGCCGACGGCACUACACCGGAGCCGGCCAAGUUCCUCACCACCAAAGAUAAGGAUGGCAAGGAAUCCUCUGAGCCCAACCCUCUCCACCCUUUUUGGGUCCAGGAGGACCAGCAAGUGCUGGGCUAUCUGCUGA